rnacentral:rRNA from 1 species
UAAGUGGAUAGUGAAACCUGGUGGCUCAACCAUUCAGACUAUUAUCCAAACUGGCAAGCUCGAGAAUGGUAGAGGUAGUUGGAAUUUCUAGUGUAGGAGUGAAAUCCGUAGAUAUUAGAAGGAACACCAAUGGCGUAGGCAGACUACUGGACCAUUUCUGACGCUAAGGCACGAAAGCGUGGGGAGCGAACCGGAUUAGAUACCCGGGUAGUCCACGCCGUAAACGAUGGAUGCUA